rnacentral:rRNA from 1 species
UACAGAGGUCCCGAGCGUUGUUCGGAUUCACUGGGCGUAAAGGGUGCGUAGGUGGCCGGUUAAGUCUGACGUGAAAUCUCCGAGCCUAACUCGGAAACUGCAUCGGAAACUAUCCGGCUCGAGGGUUGGAGGGGGGACUGGAAUACUUGGUGUAGCAGUGAAAUGCGUAGAUAUCAAGUGGAACACCAGUGGCGAAGGCGAGUCCCUGGACAACUCCUGACACUGAGGCACGAAAGCUAGGGGAGCAAACAGG